AAUGAACGCUGGCGGCGUGCCUAAUACAUGCAAGUCGAGCGAACAGACGAAGAUCUUGCCCCUCUUCCGUUAGCGACGGACGGGUAAUUCCCACGUGUCUAACCUACCUAUGAGAAUGGCAUCAGUUCGCGGACCCGAAUCUAAUACCGGAUCAUAUAUUGAACCGCAUGGUUCUUUGGUCAAAGACGGAUUUGCUGUCCCUUAUACGUAUAUCCGAGCCGCAUUAGCUAGUUGGUACGGUAACGGCUUACCAAGGCAACGAUGCGUAGCCGACCUGAGAGGAUGAUCAGUCACACUGGAACUGAGACACGGUCCAGACUCCUACGGGAGGCAGCAGUAGGGAAUAUUGCGCAAUGGGCGAAAGCCUGACGCAGCAAUGCCGCGUGAGUGAUGAAGGUCUUCGGAUCGUAAAGCUCUGUUAGUAGGGAGGAAGAAAAGUGAAUUAAUCCAUUCCUGUCUUGACGGUACCUAAACAGAAAGCACCGGCUAACUUCGUG
rnacentral:rRNA from 1 species